AAAUAGAAACCCUGAAAAGACAAAUAACAAGCAGCAAGAUUGAAUAAGUAUUAAAAAAUGCCAACAAAAAUGUCCAGGACUAGAUGGAUUUACAGCUGAAUUCCACCAGACAUUCAAAGAAGAAUUGGUACCAAUCCUACUGAAACUAUUCCAAAUGAUAGAGAAAGAGGGAAUCUUCCCUACAUCAUUCGAUGAGGCCAGCAUCACCCUAAUACCAAGACCAGCAAAGGACAUGUCAAAAAAAGAAAACUACAGACCGAUAUUCCUGAUGAACACAGAUGCAAAAAUCCUCAACAAAAUACUAGUGAACUAAAUCCAACAGCAUAUCACAAAGAUAAUGCAUCAUGAUCAAGUGGUUUCAUACCAGGAAUGCAGGAAUGGUUUAACAUAUGCAAGUCAAGUCAAUAAGUGUGAUAUAUUACAUAAACAGAAUUAAAAACAAAAACCAUAUGAUCAUCUCAAUAGAUGCAGAAAAAUAAUUUGAUAAAAUCUAGCAUGACUUUUUGAAAAAAACCCUCAACAAAACAGGCAUAGAAGGGACUUACUUUAAAGUAAUAAAAGCCAUAUCUGACAAACCCACAGCCAAUGUCACACUAAACUGGGAAAAGUUGAAAGCAUUCUCCCUGAGAACAGGAACAAGACAAGGAUGCUGACUUUCACCACUUCUAUUCAACUUAGUACUGGAAGUCCUAACCAGAGCAAUCAGACAAGAGAAAGAAAUGAAAGGAAUCCAAAUCAGAAAAAAGGAUGUCAAACCAUCGCUGUUCACAGAUUAUAUGAUUGUAUAGCUAGAAAACCCUAAAGACUCAUCCAAAAAGCUCCUAGAUCCAAUAAACAAAUUCAGUAAAGUCUCAGGAUACAAAAUCAAUGUACAAAAAUCAGUAACACUGGAAUACACCAAAAAUGACCAAGCUGAGAAUCAAAUCAAGAACAACAGCUGCAAUAAAAAGAAAACCUUAGGAAUACACUUAACUAAGGAGGUGAAAGAUCUCUACCAAAAAAACCCUACAAAACACUGCUGAAAGAAAGAUAAGUGAAAUAAACAAAUGGAAAUAAGUUCCAUGGCCAUAGAUGGGAAGAAUCAACAUUGUGAAAAUGACUGUACUGCUCAAAGCAAUCUACAGAUUCAAUGCAAUUCCCAUCAAAAUACCAUAAUUCUUCACAGAACUAGAAAAAACAAUCCUAAAUUCAUAUGGAAGCAAAAAAGAUCCCACAUAGCCAAAGAAAUACUAAGCUGAAAGUACAAAUAUAAAGGCUUCACAUUACCCAACUUCAAGUUAUACUACAAGGUUACAGUUAUCAAAACCGCGGGGUACUGGUAUAAAAAUAGGCACAUAGACCAAUGGAACAGAAAUAGAGAACCUAGAAAUAAAGCCAAAUACUUGGAGCCAACUGAUCUUUGACAAGGCAUACAAAAACAUACAUUGGGAAAAGGACACCCUAUUCAAUAAAUGGUGCUGGGAAAACUGGCAAGCCACAUGUAGAGGAAUAAAACUGGAUCUCCAUCUGUCACCUUAUACAAAAAUCAACUCAAGAUGAAUCAAAGAGUUAAAUCUAAGAUCUGAAAUCAUAAAAAUUCUAGAAGAUAACAUCAAAAAUACUCUUCUGGACAUUGGCUUAGGCAAAGAAUUCAUAAUUAAGUACCCAAAAGCAAAUGCAACAAAACAAAAAUAAAUUGCUUCUUCAUAGCAAAAGAAAUUACAGAGUAAACAGACAACCCACAGAGCGGGAGAAAAUAUUCACAAACUAUGCAUCCAACAAAGGUCUAGAAUCCAGAACCUACAAGGAACUCAAAUCAGCAAGAAAAAAACAAAUAAUCCCAUGAAAAAGUGGGCAAAGGUCAUGAACAGACACUUCUCAAAAGAAGAUAUACAAAUGGCCAACAAACACAUGAAAAACUGUUCAACAUCACUAAUUCUCAUGGAAAUGCAAAUCAAAACCACAGUGAGACACCAGCUUACUCCUGCAAGAAUGGCCAUAAUUAAAAUGUCAAAGAACAAUAGAUGUUGGUGUGGAUGUGGUGAAAGGAAACACUUUUACACUGCUGAUGGGAAUAUAAAUUAGUACAACCACUACAGAAAACAGUAUGUGGAUUCCUUAAAGAACUAAAAGUAGAUCUACCAUUUAGUCCAGCAAUCCUGCUACUGGGUAUCUAGGAAAGGAAAAUAAGUCAUUACAUAAAAAAGACAGCUACAUGCAUAUAUUUAUUACAGCACAAUUCGCAAUGGCAAAGAUAUGGAAGCAACAUAAGCGCCCAUCAAUUAAUCAAUGGGGAGACUGUGGCUCAAUGAGGUCAAACAAUUUGCAGUCAGGGAGUAGGGAUGCUUUGAAUAUGGCCAUCAUCUCACUGGCUCACUGUGGGGGAGUGAUGCCAGGAGGACUUCUGUUCCACCAUCUUGCUGAUGUUACUCUCCCUCACUAAAACAUUGUGUGUGCAACUAGGGUCAUCUGGGCAGCUGAAAAAAAAAGUCAAAGAAAAACUAAGGCCUUCCUUUCCUAUCACCCAUCAAUGUUGGCAGAGAUGGAAAAAACAGGCACCGUUUAGGUGCUGGGAAUGGAGCAGUGAACCACACUGACAACAACUCCCUGCCUUCAUAGAACCUGCCUUCUAGAAAGGGAAGACAGAGCAAAAAAAAAAUAAACUGGAUCAAAGCUAUACUCAACUUCAAGAUGACUGUUCACUGAGAAAUGUGAAAUUAAUAUGAAAUAUGAAAGAAAACUCUUACUAUGUAAAUGAAUCACAGAAUCCAAGAAAGAUGUGCCGGAUGGGAACUAGAGGUCAUCUAGAUUGCAUUCUGUCUAAUCAGAUCAUAUGAAGGAGCCAAAGCUGUCUUCCUGUUAGCUCCAGAGUAAAAGUAGCCUGCAGCCCACACCCUGGGGUCUGAUGAAAGGACUCACACUCCAGUCUGCAUUCCUGCUGCACCUGCCAGACCCUGCUGACAAAAUUUCUGUUUCUCCAUUGACC
rnacentral:lncRNA from 1 species